GACAAAGUGGCUUGAAAGGACCUCAACUACUCAUAGUAAAAUCAUGGUUUAAUCAAUCAACCAGAAACUAUACACUUCUUGGAUUCCCGUUUAACAACCAUAUGUAUUUGGAGAAAUUAGGACAAGCGACUCCCUGGAGGGCUCUGAAAUCAUGUCAGUCAGCGUCCACGAAAACCGUAAGUCCCGGACCAGCACGGGCUCCAUGAACAUCUCUCUGUUCCAUAAGCCCUCGCAUCCAGACAGCGUGCUCACCCACCUCAACACCCUCCGCAAGCAGUGCAUGUUCACUGACGUGACGCUGUGGGCGGGGGACCGCUCCUUCCCCUGCCAUCGGGCGGUACUGGCCGCAUGCAGCCGCUACUUUGAGGCGAUGUUCAGCGGCGGGCUCCGUGAGAGCCUGGACAACGAGGUGAACUUCAGAGACAGUGUGCAUCCAGAGGUGUUGGAGCUGCUGCUGGACUUUGCCUACUCGUCACGUGUCAUCAUCAACGAGGAGAACGCAGAGUCGUUGCUGGAGGCGGGAGACAUGCUGCAGUUCCACGACAUCAGAGACGCUGCUGCGGCGUUCCUGGAGAAGAACCUGCACUUGUCCAACUGCCUGGGUAUGAUGCUACUGUCUGAUGCCCACCAGUGCAAACAGCUGUAUGAGCUCUCCUGGAGGAUGUGCCUGGUGCACUUUGAGGCGUUGCGGGACACAGAGGACUUCUACGGCCUCAACAAAGACAAGCUGCUGGACCUGAUUCUCAGCGACGAGCUGGAGAUCGAGGACGAGCAUAUCGUGUUCAACUCUGUGAUGCGCUGGGUACGCUACGACCUGGACGGCCGCAGAGACUACCUCCCUGAGCUGCUGGGUGGAAUCCGCCUGGCCCUGCUGCCCUCUGAGUGUCUGAUCGAGGCGGUGGCCUGCGAGGAGCUGGUGAUGUCAGACAAGAGGAGCCGGCAGAUAGUGGAGGAGGCCAUGCAGUGCAAGAAGAAGAUCCUGCAAAACGAUGGGGUGGUCACCAGCCCCUGUGCCCGGCCCCGCAAGGCAGGCCACACACUGCUCAUCUUGGGAGGACAGACCUUCAUGUGUGAUAAGAUCUACCAGGUGGACCACAAAGCCAAGGAGAUCAUUCCUAAGUCGGACUUGCCCAGUCCCAGGAAGGAGUUCAGCGCCUGUGCAAUUGGCUGUAAGGUCUACGUGACUGGGGGGAGGGGUUCUGAGAACGGGGUGUCCAAGGAUGUUUGGAUCUAUGACACGGUCCACGAGGAGUGGUCUAAAGGAGCUCCCAUGUUGAUAGCACGGUUUGGCCAUGGUUCGGCUGAACUGGAGAACUGGCUGUAUGUGGUGGGUGGCCACACUGCCAUAGCAGGCAUCUUCCCUGCCUCCCCCUCAGUCUCCCUCAAACAGGUAGAGCGGUAUGACCCACUCACCAACAAAUGGACCAUGAUGGCGCCGCUCAGAGAUGGUGUUAGCAAUGCAGCUGUGGUCAGCGCCAAGCUAAAGCUGUUUGUAUUUGGUGGCACCACCAUACACAGAGACAAGGCCUCCAAGGUGCAGUGCUACAACCCUCUAGAGAACCGCUGGGCCAUCGCAGCAGAAUGUCCACAACCGUGGAGAUAUACAGCCGCUGCUGUUCUGGGCAGCCAGAUCUUCAUAAUGGGCGGAGACACGGAGUUCACCGCCGCCUCCGCCUACCGCUUUGACUGUGAGACCAACCAGUGGUCUCGUGUUGGGGACAUGACUUCUAAAAGAAUGAGCUGCCAUGCGGUGGCCUCUGGGAACAAACUGUACGUGGUGGGGGGCUACUUUGGGACGCAGCGCUGCAAGACUCUAGACUGUUAUGACCCCACGUCUGAUAGCUGGAACAGUAUAACCACAGUGCCUUACUCACUAAUUCCCACUGCGUUCGUAAGCACCUGGAAACAUCUACCUGCCUAGCAGCCUUGACAUGAACAAGGAGUGGUCUCCAGAACUGGGGACUAAAGAGGGCACCUGAUUGGCAUUUCACGCAUUUGGCUUAGCAGGAGGAAACAGUCAUGCUUGACUCGUUUGGAGAUGUCACAUGUUUCCGGCCAUAGUGACUAGCUGGGGCUUGACUGCCUGUAGACCAACGAGAUGUGUCAAGCGAAGGGUUGGUUCCGCCAGGGUCGCCCAGCUAUAGCUGUUACGCCAAACACCCCCUCGGAGGUAAAGACUGUUCCAGAUUAUCUGAGGGGUGUGUGGUCCAACGCCAGAACACAAGGUCCUCCAAGAGGGAUGCCAUUCGCUGGCUCUUCUCCCUCACAGCACAAGGAGACAUCCAUACCAUGCUUCCUAACAGUCUUAUUCAUGACCAUGGUGAGAAACAGACCCUUUAUAGACAGACAACCGAUGUGGGUAUUAUUGCUCAGUAUUUCUAACUGAGGCCAUUUUUAAAUGUCUUAUUAUUUGAGGGAUCCCGAAUUAGAUCAUUCCAGCUUUGAACCCAGGCGAUGUAGUCUUAAGGGGUGAUUGGUUUUUGUAAAUGACAAUUAAUAAACUACAGUAAGCAGGAACACUAUCCCUUCCAUCAUAAAAUGUGGUGCUGUUUGUUGGCUCUUUGCUGUAGGCUGUCAGCACACACGAUUAAUGAGCCUCAGCAGACACUCAGAUCCAACAAGCAGCCCUACACUACAUUGCAAGUCAACUCUUUAAAACAAUGAGAUACUGUAUAUCAAAGAAACACAACACGUAUCAUCUAACUUUCAGGGGAAAUACAUGUUAAAGUAUAAGCAGUUGUACUGUAUUUACUUCGUAUCUAUGAAACAAUUCAGCCUGGGAAUCCUGUCAACACCACAGCACAAUUUGCUAUUGUAGACCUCUUAUCAUUGAAGCAUUUCUUGAAGGUAUGAAACAAUACCCAUUACUCACUGGUCAAAAACUGGUUUAAUCAAGAUUGUUUCCAUGUCAUUUCACCCCCAAAAUUAAAUGUGAUUACAUUGAAAACAUGGAAAACUGAUUGGAUUAGCAAAAAGUAAUCAACGUAAGGGAAUUUUCUUUUUUUCACCCACCUUUUAACCUAAAUCCAAUGGACAUGGUGACAUUUCUUGUUGAUUUCAUGUUGAAUUCACAUUUGUUGACAACUCAACCAAAUGUAAAAUCAAAACUAGAUGUUGAAAUUGCAUCUGUACCCAGUGGGUACAUUGUGGUUGAUGUGUGUUUUAGUUAUACAACAUUUGCACUUGGCACUAUACAUUUGAUAAUAUGUCAAUGAGGGUACUAAGCUUUGAUACUGGGAUUUUUGGGGGGGUGAAUUUGGUUUAUUUCUGCAGUUUAUUUGUGGAAUGAUAGCCGCCCAGAAGCAACAACCUUUUUCUUCAGAAGCCCCGUAGGAGGAGUUUUUUUUAUUUUUAUUUAUGAUAAAGACUCACUUUUAAACUACAGUUACUUUUCCAUGUGGGGGGUGCCUUCAAGGACUGUAAUAAGGUCUCCUUGUGAACUGAAUUCCUUGUGCCUAAUACUGGUAGAAAGGUUUGUCAUAAAUUCACUCUGUUAAAGUGUUUGAAUAAAUGACUUUUUAAUUCA